rnacentral:tRNA from 1 species
GCUUUUGGUUCAGUGGUAGAAUGCUUGCCUGCCACGCGGGCGCUCCGGGUUCGAUCCCCGGGAGAUGCA